GAUGAACGCUAGCGGCAGGCCUAACACAUGCAAGUCGAGGGGCAGCACAGGUAGCAAUACUGGGUGGCGACCGGCGGAUGGGUGCGUAACGCGUAUGCAACCUACCAUUGAUUGGGGCAUAGCCCGAAGAAAUUCGGAUUAAUACUCCAUAAUAUUCAUCAAAGGCAUCUUUUAUGAAUUAAAGCUUUUGCGAUCAAUGAUGGGCAUGCGUGACAUUAGUUAGUUGGUGAGGUAACGGCUCACCAAAACGAUGAUGUCUAGGGGUUCUGAGGGGAUUAUCCCCCAACUGGUACUGAGACACGGACCAGACUCCUACGGGAGGCAGCAGUGAGGAAUAUUGGUCAAUGGACGCAAGUCUGAACCAGCCAUGCCGCGUGCAGGAUGACGGCCCUAUGGGUUGUAAACUGCUUUUCCACGGGAGAACCCUCGACGUGUCGGAGACUGACGGUACCUGGGAAUAAGCAUCGGCUAACUCCGUGCC
rnacentral:rRNA from 1 species